rnacentral:misc_RNA from 1 species
CCUAGAGUUGUAGCUUUGGCCCUGCUAUCUCUUACCCAUGUCUUUUGAGUACCUUCGUUUCCCCUCGGCGGGUCCGCCCGCCGAUUGGACAAUUUUAAACCAUUUGCAGUUGCAAUCAGCUGUCUGAAAAAACUUAAUAGUUUA